UACGGAGGGUCCAAGCGUUAUCCGGAAUCAUUGGGUUUAAAGGGUCCGUAGGCGGUUUUGUAAGUCAGUGGUGAAAGCCCAUCGCUCAACGGUGGAACGGCCAUUGAUACUGCAAGGCUUGAAUUAUUGGGAAGUAACUAGAAUAUGUAGUGUGGCGGUGAAAUGCUUAGAGAUUACAUGGAAUACCAAUUGCGAAGGCAGGUUACUACCAAUAUAUUGACGCUGAUGGACGAAAGCGUGGGGAGCGAACAGG
rnacentral:rRNA from 1 species